GAUGAACGCUGGCGGCGUGCCUAAUACAUGCAAGUCGAGCGAACGGACGAGAAGCUUGCUUCUCUGAUGUUAGCGGCGGACGGGUGAGUAACACGUGGAUAACCUACCUAUAAGACUGGGAUAACUUCGGGAAACCGGAGCUAAUACCGGAUAAUAUUUUGAACCGCAUGGUUCAAAAGUGAAAGACGGUCUUGCUGCCACUUAUAGAUGGAUCCGCGCUGCAUUAGCUAGUUGGUAAGGUAACGGCUUACCAAGGCAACGAUGCAUAGCCGACCUGAGAGGGUGAUCGGCCACACUGGAACUGAGACACGGUCCAGACUCCUACGGGAGGCAGCAGUAGGGAAUCUUCCGCAAUGGGCGAAAGCCUGACGGAGCAACGCCGCGUGAGUGAUGAAGGUCUUCGGAUCGUAAAACUCUGUUAUUAGGGAAGAACAUAUGUGUAAGUAACUGUGCACAUCUUGACGGUACCUAAUCAGAAAGCCACGGCUAACUACGUGCCAGCAGCCGCGGUAAUACGUAGGUGGCAAGCGUUAUCCGGAAUUAUUGGGCGUAAAGCGCGCGUAGGCGGUUUUUUAAGUCUGAUGUGAAAGCCCACGGCUCAACCGUGGAGGGUCAUUGGAAACUGGAAAACUCGAGUGCAGAAGAGGAAAGUGGAAUUCCAUGUGUAGCGGUGAAAUGCGCAGAGAUAUGGAGGAGCACCAGUGGCGAAGGCGACUUUCUGGUCUGUAACUGACGCUGAUGUGCGAAAGCGUGGGGAUCAAACAGGAUUAGAUACCCUGGUAGUCCACGCCGUAAACGAUGAGUGCUAAGUGUUAGGGGGUUUCCGCCCCUUAGUGCUGCAGCUAACGCAUUAAGCACUCCGCCUGGGGAGUACGACUGCAAGGUUGAAACUCAAAGGAAUUGACGGGGACCCGCACAAGCGGUGGAGCAUGUGGUUUAAUUCGAAGCAACGCGAAGAACCUUACCAAAUCUUGACAUCCUUUGACAACUCUAGAGAUAGAGCCUUCCCCUUCGGGGGACAAAGUGACAGGUGGUGCAUGGUUGUCGUCAGCUCGUGUCGUGAGAUGUUGGGUUAAGUCCCGCAACGAGCGCAACCCUUAAGCUUAGUUGCCAUCAUUAAGUUGGGCACUCUAAGUUGACAGCCGGUGACAAACCGGAGGAAGGUGGGGAUGACGUCAAAUCAUCAUGCCCCUUAUGAUUUGGGCUACACACGUGCUACAAUGGACAAUACAAAGGGCAGCGAAACCGCGAGGUCAAGCAAAUCCCAUAAAGUUGUUCUCAGUUCGGAUUGUAGUCUGCAACUCGACUACAUGAAGCUGGAAUCGCUAGUAAUCGUAGAUCAGCAUGCUACGGUGAAUACGUUCCCGGGUCU
rnacentral:rRNA from 1 species